UAAGGAAAAGUAGACAGGAUUGUUUUUAAGCAUGUAAUGGCUGUAGGUAAGGCAGGUUUUACAGAAAGAAGGAAGAUUGGAGGUUAAUGCACUGGAAAGCUUGUGGUGUACAAGUAAUGUGAAAGAGAGGUGUAACACAUGCCUACUGUGAAGAUACCAUUAGGUCCAAAAUGGAAACCAUAUCCAUGGACUCAAAGAUUUAACAGACAUAUGCAUGUUCAAUAAAGUGGUAAUAAUCAGAUUUGGCAGCAAACAAGCUGGAUUUUUAUAAAAGCCCAAACUCUUCAUGACAUAGCUACCAGCUGUACCGAACUUUUUUCAAAGGUUCAUCUGUUUUCCCUCAGGAAAAGCCUAGGAAAAGAAACAGACCUAGUGGGAUGACCUAAAGUCAACAGAUCUGGUCUUCUGCAAAUUGAAUAACUGUACAAUACUUUGCUUUAGUGGCUCAUAAUCACAAUAUUUUCCUCCAACCAUUAUAAUUCCAUUAUAAUUUAAAAGGGAAAUGAUGAGAAAGUAAAAAAAGAUGAUAAGCAUUUUUAUAAGUGAACCAUUAACACUUAAAAUAAAAUUAAAAAUGACUUUUCAACCACAUAAUUUGGGACAUUCUGAGUUGCACGAGCAUCUUGAUGCAUUUAAAUUGGAAGUCUUCAUAAGAGAGGCUGAGUCUUAGAAGAGAGAGUAUAUCUUUCCAUUUUCCUCGGAUAGUAUAUUUUUCCAUCUUGCCAUUAAUUUCCAUGGAAGACCACCUCCUCAUGUAUUAUUGUCAUGCUAUCUUGAAAAGUACUUAGUACGGAAACCAGAAAAAUAGUGAGUUAUUUUCUAAUUGUAUUGUAACUCUUAGCUCAAAUCAAUGAGUUAAACAUUAACAUUAGGUCUGAGUUUCACCUGUAGCUUCAGGAUGUCUACACUAGAAAAGAGAAGAGUUGAGAUGUCAUCUGCUGUCCAAUGACUUCUGACCUCUUCCAAGGACUUCUAAAACUCUUCUAAAUAUGCAAUAGUUACCAAACUCCUGCAGAGUGAAGACUCACUGAAGACUCCAGAUACUCUGGUGAAUCUGCCACAAAUCUUGUCUGGCAUCCUGGGCUUGAGGGUAAUUUACCUUUUGAAUUGAGCUCCAACUAAAAAUUUCUUUGCAGAAAGUUAAACCAAGAAGAAAGUGGAAGUGAGUCUUGAAAUUCCCACAUUGCCAUUCAGAGAGUUCAUUAUAAAAUACAGCUGGUAGUCACAAGCAUAUACUUCAUCUGGUACAAUACACUAUGGUUUUAAUUCAAUACAGUAAUGAGUUAACUGAUGUCAAUAUAAUUGCUGUAACGGAUUUCUUACUGUAUGCUUUCUACAGAAUUUAUAGAACUUGAUUCUUAAGUUAGCUAUUAAUAGUCCCCCAAAAAAGCUUUUGCUACUUGUAUUUGAUCAAGUGAAUA